rnacentral:rRNA from 1 species
AUGGGGCGCUCGAAGGCAAUUGAUGAGGCCGAGUGGCAAGAGGUCCUCUCUCUUCGAGAUGAAUUUGGUGCGGUUCAACAGGAAAACGCAACGAUGCGAACUGAUGUGUCAAAAUUACAGGAAGAUGUUCAGUCAAUUAGUUCCAAACAAGGCGAAAUAGCUCUACAAGUUGGAGGAAUUGAAAAAGUUGUGUUAGAUCUGGGGAAACAAUUGUCCACGAUGAGUUCGGUCUUGCAGAAAUUAGUGGCUCCAUCUGGGUCAGGAACUAGAGCAGAGAAACAACCUGAGAAAGACCACCUAGCAGAACUGAACAGUUGA